rnacentral:rRNA from 1 species
GACGAACGCUGGCGGCGUGCUUAACACAUGCAAGUCGAGCGGUAAGGCCCUUUUGGGGGUACACGAGCGGCGAACGGGUGAGUAACACGUGGGUGACCUGCCCUCAGCUCUGGGAUAAGCCUGGGAAACUGGGUCUAAUACUGGAUAUGACCUUUCCUCGCAGUGGGGGUUGGGGUGGUAAAGUUUUUCGGCGUGGGGAGUGGGCCCGGCGGCCUAUCAGCUUGUUGGGUGGGGUGAUGGCCUACCAAGGCGACGACGGGUAGCCGGCCUGAGAGGGCGACCGGCCACAC